CCUACGGGAGGCAGCAGUGAGGAAUAUUGGUCAAUGGGCGCGAGCCUGAACCAGCCAAGUCGCGUGAGGGAAGACGGCCCUACGGGUUGUAAACCUCUUUUGCCGGGGAGCAACGGGCGCCACGUGUGGCGCCACUGAGAGUACCCGGCGAACAAGCAUCGGCUAACUCCGUGCCAGCAGCCGCGGUAAUACGGGGGAUGCGAGCGUUAUCCGGAGUUAUUGGGUUUAAAGGGUGCGUAGGCGGAGCGUUAAGUCAGUGGUCAAAUUGGGGGGCUCAAACCCUUCCCGCCAUGGAACCUGGCGCGCUUGAGUGGAAGAGAGGUAUGCGGAAUGCGUGGUGUAGCGGUGAAAUGCAUAGAUAUCACGCAGAACCCCGAUUGCGAAGGCAGCAUGCCGGCUUCCUACUGACGCUGAAGCACGAAAGCGUGGGGAGCGAACAGGAUUAGAUACCCGAGUAGUC
rnacentral:rRNA from 1 species